UACGGGGGGGGCAAGCGUUGUUCGGAAUUACUGGGCGUAAAGGGCUCGUAGGCGGCCCGUUAAGUCAGUGGUGAAAGUUUGCGGCUUAACCGUAAAAUUGCCAUUGAAACUGAUGGGCUUGAGUAUGGUUGAGGUGGGCGGAAUGUGUCAUGUAGCGGUGAAAUGCUUAGAUAUGAUACAGAACACCGAUUGCGAAGGCAGCUCACUAAACCAUAACUGACGCUGAGGCACGAAAGCGUGGGGAUCAAACAGG
rnacentral:rRNA from 1 species